rnacentral:rRNA from 1 species
CUGAUUGACCGAUAGUGAACAAGUACCGUGAGGGAAAGGUGAAAAGAACCCCGAAGGGGGAGUGAAAUAGACACUGAAACUGAAUACCUACAAGCUGUCAGAGCCGGUUUUCCGGUGAUGGCGUACCUUUUGUAUAAUGAGCCAACGAGUUAUUAUUGCAUGCAAGCCUAAGCCGCUAGGUGUAAGCGAAGGGAAACCGAGUCUGAAUAGGGCGAUUUGAGUAUGCAGUAAUAGACCCGAAGCGGGGUGAUCUAGGUAUGGGCAGGCUGAAGGCGGUGUAACAAUCGCUGGAGGGCCGAACGCACCAAUAUGGCAACAUUGGGCGAUGACCUGUGUCUAGGGGUGAAAAGCCAAUCGAACCCCGUUAUAGCUGGUUCUCCGCGAAAACUAUAGAGGUAGUGUCUCAAGUGUUCGUUGUUGGGGGUAAAGCACUGAAAUGGCUAGGGGGAGUAAAAUCUUACCAACCCAUAUCAAACUCUGAAUACCAACAAAUUAUAGCUUGGGAAACAGUCCAUCGGUGCUAAGGUCGGUGGACGAGAGGGCAACAGCCCAGACCGCCAACUAAGGUCCCAAAAUGAUGAUUAAGUGGGAAAGUGAGUCGAGAUUCCAAAACAACCAGGAUGUUGGCUUGGAAGCAGCCAUCGUUUAAAGAAAGCGUAAUAGCUCACUGGUCUAUUAGAGUUUCGGCAACGAAAAUGUAACGGGGCUAAAAUCAUCUACCGAAGUUGCGGGUGCGUCGUAAGACGUGCGGUAGCGGAGCAUUCUGUAAGCCUGUGAAGCCGAAGGUGUGAGCCACGGUGGAGGUAUCAGAAGCGCGAAUGUUGGCAUGAGUAGCAGCUAAUCAAGGUGAGAAACCUUGACGCCGUAAGAGCAAGGGUUCCUAUCCAAUGUUAAUCAGGGUAGGGUGAGUCGACCCCUAAGGCGAGGCCGAAAGGCGUAGUCGAUGGGAAACAGGUUAAUAUUCCUGUACUUGGUGUUACUGCGAAGGGGGGACGGAGAAGGCUAUGUUGGCCGGGCGACGGUUGUCCCGGUUUAAGCGUGUAGGCUGGUUUUCCAGGCAAAUCCGGAAAAUCAAGGCUGAGGCGUGAUGACGAGGCACUACGGUGCUGAAGCAACAAAUGCCCUGCUUCCAGGAAAAGCCUCUAAGCAUCAGGUAACAUCAAAUCGUACCCCAAACCGACACAGGUGGUCAGGUAGAGAAUACCAAGGCGCUUGAGAGAACUCGGGUGAAGGAACUAGGCAAAAUGGUGCCGUAACUUCGGGAGAAGGCACGCUGAUAUGUAGGUGAAGUCCCUCGCGGAUGGAGCUGAAAUCAGUCGAAGAUACCAGCUGGCUGCAACUGUUUAUUAAAAACACAGCACUGUGCAAACACGAAAGUGGACGUAUACGGUGUGACGCCUGCCCGGUGCCGGAAGGUUAAUUGAUGGGGUCAGCGCAAGCGAAGCUCUUGAUCGAAGCCCCGGUAAACGGCGGCCGUAACUAUAACGGUCCUAAGGUAGCGAAAUUCCUUGUC